rnacentral:rRNA from 1 species
GACGAACGCUGGCGGCGUGCUUAACACAUGCAAGUCGAACGGAAAGGCCCUGCUUUUGUGGGGUUCUCGAUUGGCGAACGGGUGAGUAACACGUGAGUAACCUGCCCUUAACUUUGGGAUAACUUCACGAAACUGGGGCUCAUACCCGAUAGAAGCUCCUGCUGCGUGUGGGUGGUUGGAAAGUUUCGGCUGUUGUGGAUGGACUCGCUGGUUAUCCGUUUGUUGGUGGGGUAGUGGCUUCCCAAGGGUUUGACGGGUAGCCGGCCUGAGAGGUGUACCGGGGACAAGGGGACUGCGAGACGGCGCAGAAUGGUACGGGAGGCAGUAGUGGGGAACAUGGCGCAACGGGCGGAAGCCUGAGGAAGCAACGCUGCGUGCGGGAUGACGGCUUUCGGGGUGAAAACCGCUUUCGAAGGUGACGAAGCGUGAGUGACGGUAAUGGGUAAAGAAGCAACGGCUAACUACGUG